rnacentral:rRNA from 1 species
AUUGAACGCUGGCGGAAUGCUUUACACAUGCAAGUCGGGCGGCAGCGCGGGGGCAACCCUGGCGGCGAGCGGCGAACGGGUGAGUAAUACAUCGGAACGUGUCCUUGAGUGGGGGAUAGCUCGGCGAAAGCCGGAUUAAUACCGCAUAAGCUCUGAGGAGGAAAGCGGGGGACUGGUAACGGCCUCGCGCUGUUGGAGCGGCCGAUGUCGGAUUAGCUAGUUGGUGGGGUAAAGGCCCACCAAGGCGACGAUCCGUAGCUGGUCUGAGAGGAUGAUCAGCCACACUGGAACUGAGACACGGUCCAGACUCCUACGGGAGGCAGCAGUGGGGAAUUUUGGACAAUGGGGGCAACCCUGAUCCAGCCAUUCCGCGUGAGUGAAGAAGGCC